AGCGAACGCUGGCGGCAGGCUUAACACAUGCAAGUCGAGCGGGCGUAGCAAUACGUCAGCGGCAGACGGGUGAGUAACGCGUGGGAACGUACCUUUUGGUUCGGAACAACACAGGGAAACUUGUGCUAAUACCGGAUAAGCCCUUACGGGGAAAGAUUUAUCGCCGAAAGAUCGGCCCGCGUCUGAUUAGCUAGUUGGUGAGGUAACGGCUCACCAAGGCUACGAUCAGUAGCUGGUCUGAGAGGAUGAUCAGCCACAUUGGGACUGAGACACGGCCCAAACUCCUACGGGAGGCAGCAGUGGGGAAUAUUGGACAAUGGGGGCAACCCUGAGCCAGCCAUGCCGCGUGAGUGAUGAAGGCCCUAGGGUUGUAAAGCUCUUUUGUGCGGGAAGAUAAUGACGGUACCGCAAGAAUAAGCCCCGGCUAACUUCGUG
rnacentral:rRNA from 1 species